rnacentral:rRNA from 1 species
GUCCACGCUGUAAACGAUGAUAACUCGUUGUCGGCGAUACACAGUCGGUGACUGAGCGAAAGCGAUAAGUUAUCCACCUGGGGAGUACGAUCGCAAGGUUGAAACUCAAAGGAAUUGACGGGGGCCCGCACAAGCGGAGGAGCAUGUGGUUUAAUUCGAUGAUACGCGAGGAACCUUACCUAGACUUGAACGUAUUUGGCAUAAUUUAGAAAUAGAUUAGUUAGUAAUAACCAUUUACGAGGUGCUGCAUGGUUGUCGU